UAAAUAACUCCGCCUGUAGCUCUUAUAGGGUUGCUGCCGGUCCCAAGCCCGGGUAAAGGAGGAGGGUUGG
rfam:Schistosoma curassoni strain Dakar, Senegal genome assembly, scaffold: SCTD_scaffold0000482